rnacentral:rRNA from 1 species
AAAGUCUGGCCUGCCCUAUGAAUAAUUAUAUUUAAAUGGCUGCGGUAUUUUGACCGUGCAAAGGUAGCAUAAUAAUUAGUUUUUUAAUUGAGAACUGGUAUGAAAGGUUUGACGAGGGAAAGACUGUCUCAAUUUAAUUUUAAUUAGAAUUUUAUUUUUAAGUAAAAAAGCUUAAAUAAUUUUAAAAGACGAGAAGACCCUAUAGAAUUUUAUACGUAUAUAUAUAUAUAAAAAUUUAAGAAUUUUAAAAUUUAAAUAUUUAUAGAAAUAUUUGAUUGGGGCAAUCGAAAAAUUUAAUGAACUUUUUUUAUAUUUAAACAUUAAUUUAUGAAUAGAUGAUCCA